GGGAGUAUAGCUCAGUGGUAGAGCACAUGCUUUGCAUACAAGAGGUCCUGGGUUCAAUCCUCAGUACUUUCA
rnacentral:tRNA from 1 species